GGGAUGAGGCAGGAGUUCCAGCAGGUGUCCUUUCUGCAAAGCCCUGUGACAGGAGGGGACAGCUGCAGCUCCCCCUUCAGCUAUAAAAAGCCCUAACACCCAAGCAAGCAGAGGACACACGGAGAGAAGGACACGCUGGGGAAACCCAGUUGGAACUCAGGAAGGAGCUCGACCCCAGAACCAUGCUGAGGCUGCGCCCUGCCCUCAGGCUGCUCCAAGCCCCCCUGAGGUGUUGGGCAGUCCCCAAGGCCCACGUCUCUGCCAAGCCGGCCGAAACACCCACCUCUCCUGCGGAGCAGGCCGUGGGGCUCUCAUUCAUACUCAUCACCUUCCUGGGUCCUGCAGGCUGGAUCUUAAGCCACUUGGAAAACUACAAGAAGCGCCCCACAGCAUAAAGGCUCUAGUGUCACCGCAGGCGCAGGACUGAAAGGCAGCAUUAAACUGUCCUUCCACCUACCGUU